rnacentral:rRNA from 1 species
GACGGGGGGGGGCUAGUGUUAUUCGGAAUGACUAGGCGUAAAGGGCACGUAGGCGGUGAAUCCGGUUGAAAGUGAAAGUCGCCAGCUCAACUGGCGGAAUGCUUUCAAAACCAAUUCACUUGAGUAAGAUAGAGGAUAGUGGAAUUUCGUGUGUAGAGAUAAAAUUCACAGAUAUACGAAAGGAACACCAAAAGCGAAGGCACUUUCUGGGUCUCUACUGACGCUGAGGUGCGAAAGCAUAAGG